rnacentral:rRNA from 1 species
UACGGAGGGUGCAAGCGUUGGUCGGAAUUAAUGGGCGUAAAGCGCGUGUAGGCGGCAUCUUAAGUCUGGUGUGAAAGCCCGGGGCUUAACCCCGGAAGGGCACUGGAUACUGGGGGGCUUGAGUACAGGAGAGGAAGGUGGAAUUCCUGGUGUAGCGGUGAAAUGCGUAGAUAUCAGGAGGAACACCGGUGGCGAAGGCGCCCGGCUUGAACGCGUCCGACGGUGAGGGACGAAAGCUGGGGGAGCAAACCCG